UUAUCCGGAAUUAUUGGGCGUAAAGAGCUCGUAGGCGGUUUGUCGCGUCUGCUGUGAAAUCCCGAGGCUCAACCUCGGGCCUGCAGUGGGUACGGGCAGACUAGAGUGCGGUAGGGGAGAUUGGAAUUCCUGGUGUAGCGGUGGAAUGCGCAGAUAUCAGGAGGAACACCGAUGGCGAAGGCAGAUCUCUGGGCCGUAACUGACGCUGAGGAGCGAAAGGGUGGGGAGCAAACAGGCUUAGAUACCCUGGUAGUCCACCCCGUAAACGUUGGGAACUAGUUGUGGGGUCCAUUCCACGGAUUCCGUGACGCAGCUAACGCAUUAAGUUCCCCGCCUGGGGAGUACGGCCGCAAGGCUAAAACUCAAAGGAAUUGACGGGGACCCGCACAAGCGGCGGAGCAUGCGGAUUAAUUCGAUGCAACGCGAAGAACCUUACCAAGGCUUGACAUAUACGAGAACGGGCCAGAAAUGGUC
rnacentral:rRNA from 1 species